rnacentral:rRNA from 1 species
CGUGUAGGCGGAUUGGCAAGUCAAGCGUGAAAUCCCUCGGCUCAACCGAGGAACUGCGUUCGAAACUGCCUUUCUUGAGUGUGGAAGAGGAGAGUGGAACUCCUGGUGGAGCGGUGAAAUGCAUAGAUAUCAGGAGGAACGCCGGCGGCGAAAGCGGCUCUCUGGUCCACUACUGACGCUGAGGCGCGAAAGCCAGGGUAGCGAACG